rnacentral:ncRNA from 1 species
UAGGAACCGUGAGAUUAAGCCAUCGCGGCAGGUGCUCACGUUAAGCCCACCGACUUUCAUGUCCCUAUCUACUAUCUAGCGAAACCACAGCCAAGGGAACGGGCUUGGAAUAAUUAGCGGGGAAAGAAGACCCUUUUGAGCUUGACUCUAAUCUGGCAGUGUAAGGAGACAUAAGAGGUGUAGAAUAAGUGGGAGAUAUUAGACUUCGGUUUUGGUAUCGACAAUGAAAUACCACUACUCUUAUUGUUUCCUUACUUACUUGAUUAAAUGCAACGUGUAUCAUUUCCUAGCCAUUAUACGGAUAUAAUUAUUGUCUUAUGGUAUUGGGUUUUGAUGCAAGCUUCUUGAUCAAAGUAUCACGAGUUUGUUAUAUAAUCGCAAACAAAUUCUUUAAUGAGAGAAUGCAUUUAUGUAUUAUUGAUUUAAAAAUUUGGUAUAACUCCAAUUACUCAGGUAUGAUCCAAUUCAAGGACAUUGCCAGGUAGGGAGUUUGACUGGGGCGGUACAUCUCUCAAAUAAUAACGGAGGUGUCCCAAGGCCAGCUCAGUGCGGACAGAAACCACACAUAGAGCAAAAGGGCAAAUGCUGACUUGAUCUCGGUGUUCAGUACACACAGGGACAGCAAAAGCUCGGCCUAUCGAUCCUUUUGGUUUAAAGAG